rnacentral:lncRNA from 1 species
UUCUCUUCACGCAUCUCAUUACACGUAGUCUGUAUUAAAAUCAUAGGCAUCAUUUUCACCUGCUGUCUUGUCUAAGCUGAAUGACAGUGAGUUGGCAAGUCCACUUUCUGCUAUCUCAUUUUCUGAAUGUGCGUGUCCUGUUUGUCCCAUUCCAAGCUCAGCAUUCCUGGUCAUCUGUGUCCUGCCAUCCUCUUUGACAUUAUUCCCUUCUUCUUUUUCUAUACUAUCUUGAUCAUCAUCAGUUUCCAUGAAAUCCUCUUCCUCAUGGCUUGUUUCCAAGUCUUCCCACUCUGAUUCUUCUUCUACCACUUUAUUUUUCACUAUUUUCCCAUUAGUCAUGCCAGCCGAUUGGAAAACAAUGCUGCUUGCUGGACUGGGGUACUUUAAAGCUUGAACUGUGCUGCUGUUUUCUUCUUCCAGCUUC